GCCACACCCUCCCCUACAGAAGUGCUCACAGCACAGCCCUCACCAUGGACUGGAGUUGGAGAACCCUCCUCUUGGUGGCCAUGGCUACAGGUGUCCACUCCCAGGUGCAGCUGGUGCAGUCUGGGGCUGAGGUGAGGAAGCCUGGGGCCUCCGUGAAGGUCUCCUGCAAGGCUUCUGGAUACACCUUCACCAGCUAUGCUAUGAACUGGGUGAGACAGGCUCCAGGAAAGGGCCUGCAGUAUAUGGGCUGGAUCAACACAGAAACUGGGAAACCCACGUAUGCCCAGGGAUUCUCAGAAAGAUUUGUGUUCUCCAUGGACACCUCUGUCAGCACGGCCUAUCUGCAGAUCAAUGGCCUCAAGUCUGAGGACACGGCUGUGUAUUACUGUGCAAGACACACGGUGUGCUCAGAGCUGUCCUCACUCUCCACCUCCAGCAUGGGCUGUGCCACAGCCCUGGCCAUCCUCCUGGCUGUGCUCCCAGGCCACGUCACCAUCACCAUGGACAACUCCAUCAGCACCGGCUACCUGCAGUGGAGCAGCCUGAAGGCCUCUGACACGGCUGUGUAUUACUCACGUGACCCAUGCAUCUCAGAAGUGGGUGAUGGCGUGAGCCAAGUGUCUGUGUGA